UAAAUGCAUGAAUUUAUAAAAAAAAAUUUACUGCAUUCUUCAUUUUAAACAAGGAAGCGCAAAAAUUCCUUUUCUUUUCUCUGUUCACACACGCUUUUGAUGCAUUCAUACGUCCCAAAUGCAUUGGGGAAUUCAAUGGGGAAACUUACUUUCUUUAAUAUGCCCCUUAAUAAUACUAGUGUCUAAAAAGCUAUAAGCUUUAUUCAUUUAUUAAACUUUCUAUCAUCUUCUUGUUUUUAUAUGCAAGAGUAAGUCCAUUUAUUUAUGAAAUGAACUUGUUCCUAAAAUUCAUUGAAGUUACAGUUCAUAAUGAUUGAAUUUACCUUUUGAAUUUAAUAGAAUAAGAAAGAAAAAGAGCAAUGAAUCAAUGGAGAACAUUAUGGAAUGGAGAUACACUUGGUGUUAGUGCAGGGAGCGUAUUGAGUGAAGGUGGUAGUAGUGUUGCAGAUUGUGAGGUUGGGUUAAUAUGGUGAAUGACUUUCAGAAAGGGUCAUUAUCUAGCCGCUUGGGAAUCCCAAUGUUGUAUGGAAUUGAUGCUGCUUACGGGCACAACAAUGUCUAUAAAGGCUAAAGCUACAAUAUUCCCACAAAAUAUUGGGCUCGGACCUACAAGGAACAAGGUUGCAGCUUGAGCAAAGCACUUUGUGGGCGAUGGUGGGACAACAAAGGGCAUCAAUGAGAACCACACAUUGACUGAAAUGCAUGGAAUGUUUAGCAUCCACAUGCCCACAUACAACGACUCCAUCAAUAAAGGUAUUAUAACAAUCAUUGUUUCCUACUCUAUCUGGAACGGUGAAAAUGUGCAUGCCAAUCGCGAUCUAUUUACCGGAUUCCUCAGGGAUACACUUGAAGUUUUAGGUAAAGUUCACUUGGUAACAUCCACACUACGAGUCUGUAAUUAUCUCUCAGAUAUUUAAUUUAGGAGCUUGUUACAUGGAACAAUACAGCUGAACCAUGUCCUUUUUGUUGAACUGGUCUAUGUCCAUCUGUAUUUGCCUCUUUGCUAAUGUCAAAAAUAUUCUCACGUGUUGGGGAUUUAUGUUUCAAAAUCUAUUCACAUUGUCUGGUCAUAUACCUCUGGUCUGAACUUCUACUUAUCUCCUAGCUAAUUUCUGAGUUCAAUGUGUUUUUCUUUCUGGUCUAAGUGCUGCAUAUUCCUGUGCUAAUUAGUCUAUGCAUAAAGGCUUGUUUGGCUUUGUCACUCAGCUAGUAUUAAUCUCAUGUAAUCUGGAGGAGCACCUGUAUCAAAUGCAGGUCAGUCAUGUACUUCUCACGUGCCUCACAGCUGGUACAUUGCUAAAAGUGCUGUGUCUGCAAAAAGUAUGUGCUGUCCUUUAGUCGUGCCUGCAGAAUUCAUUUUCAGAGGGCAUUUCAGUCUAUGCUCUCUAUAUAACAGAAUUGCAGAGAGAUUCAGUAACAUUCUCUCUGAAAUAAAGUGGUGAAUAUCCUCUCCCUAUGACUCAGCUACAGCAGUCAUUCCUAUCCACAGUGUUGUGUCAGCUGCUUCUUUAGAUGAGGCCCAAGGCUGCUAAUGUGGGGGUGCAGAGAAAUUGAGAGAGUGUGUCUUACGAGCUGAAGCAAUUCUCUGAGAUAAAAAAUCAGUCCUGAAAACUCUUCCUAGAUCAUCAGAGUGUAUUGUUCUACCAUGGGAUAGACAACAGUCUCUGCAUACUAUAUGCUGCUGUCACUGUAUGAAGCUGAUGGACUGCCAAUCUGAUGUUUAGAAGAUUCUAUCUUCAGUGCUCACUGGUUUUGAUCUGAGGGUUUUGUUAUCUCAGAUUGGGAGGGCAUUGACAGGAUUUCUUCUCCACCACAUUCAAACUAACACUAGCUCCGUCCAAUUUAGUAUUCUAGUUGGCAUCAACAUGGUCAUUUUCCUAUACAACUAUACCGAGUUCAUUGACGAUCUCAUCUUCCUGAUUAUAUAAAUAAGGGUAUCCCAAUGGACCGUAUUGAUGAUGCUGAUCUUGAUCAGCCUAGUUCAUGAGGUUGUAAGCCAGGUUAGUAGAUCGUUCCAUUAUUGGGUUUCAAAUUUCUAACCUUUCAAACUUAUCACUCUUCUAGUUAGUUUUGGCUAUAUAUAUAUAUUUCCAAGAUGGCUUCCUUAUAUUGGCCAUUUUAUUUCUUUGGGUAAAGCUACUUUAAUGCAUGCAUAUUUUGUAUUUGGAUAGUGAAAACUCGGGAUAUGCAAAGACUACAGGUGAAAUCUUUUUGGAAUGUGAAAAUAUUGUGGGAAUUGGGAAGAUAUCGUAGAUUCAUAAUCUAAUAACAUAGUGGAACGAACUGAAAGCAUUGCUUGCUAGCAAAGGAAAUAGGGGAAACUACUUUUUAUCAUUUUUUAUAUUAAUCAAAAUUUUUUUUUUGUUUUUUGUUUUUGUUGCACAAUUCUCAGCUGUUUUACUCGAAGAUUCAUAUUCAUUCAAGUUGAAACCUUUUUAAUGAUAACAAAUGAGCAUUAUUAAGGAGAUUCUUCGGAAGAGAAUGUUGUUUCCAUGAGUUGGACAUGUCAACCUCCUUGGAUGAUUUGGCUAUUCCUAUGGGGUACCUUAGCUUGUAUUAAGAAGAAGAAAAAAGAGAGUUAUAUAUAGUCUCUACGCAUAUAGACUCUGUAUUACUACCAUGAUCUUAUCAUUUCCAGUUUUAUUUUUUAUUAGUACUUUGAGUAAUGUUUUCAAUCCCAGCAUCUUGACUGAAUGUCCUAUUAACAUUAU